AUGCUGUCUUUGGACGUUUGCGUCCAAGGCACAUAAAUGGGGAAGCCGAGGAAGAUUUCAUGAGACAGGAGAUCAAUAUGCUGAGAUCGACCUUGGCUCGAGAAAGGGCCGAUCGAGAAGACGCUCUUCAUGUCAUCGAUGGCCUCCAACGAAACUUGGAUCGAGCUAAGAUGGACUUGAAGACGUCUGAUGAUGAACUAAGGGUCACAAGAGAUGGGUUGGCCGCCUCCGAAGCCAGUCAACAAACUUUAACCGAUCUGAACGCCGGCUUGGUCGAAGAAAACCUGCUCCUGAGGGCCAAGAAUGAGGAGUUUUCUUCG
rnacentral:lncRNA from 1 species